GAAUAAGAGAAUGAUGGAUUGGCUCAUUGAAGAUAGCUUCAAUUGGAAGACCACACCAUGUUUGUAUUACAGAAGAUAAAUGUAUAGUUUUAUUUGUCCAUAACCAGAAUACAUGGUCUAAAAACAAAGAUGUGAAAGUAGAGUAAAUCUUCUCACUAUUAUGCCUAGUAAGCCAUUUAAGAAUUUUUUUUUCCCCAACUCACAACAUUACUGGUUUGAGGGGAAAGAUUUUACCAGGAACACAAAAAUGGAUCCACUGAUGUUCAAGUUGCAACUUGCACUUGGCCAUUUGCCAUGUGUAAUUCCAAUGAAGCCACAGAUAAAAUGUGAAUUAGUCUAAUGGCUGACAUGAUUGAACUCAACUGACAAGGGAAUAUUGGACUAUUCAUGGAAAUUAACUCUUGUACAUUUUUCCUUUACUAGUUUUAAUCUGUAUCCUCCCUUUCCCAUACACUGUAACCAUAAGGGCAACAGGUUUUUCAGUCCUAUAAGUCAUUGAGCCCUCUCAUCUGACAAAGCAAGGAAAUAUGUGUAUAUAAUAAACCAUGUAUAUGCACAUUUCCACAAAUAUUUUUGUAUUUGCACCUCUGUUAUGCCAAAUGUAAAUUCAUAUAGUUCUUCCACUUCAAUCUGUUACCAUGUCAAUUAUUGUAAAAUCCUACCCUUAUGUUUAUACAACCAAUCUCUCAACUGAGACACACUCCCAUUAUCCACCAUUCAUUUAUUUCAUUGUUCAACUCCAGUAUACCUUUUUAGUUGUUCCAGAUUUGUUAACUUGUACAACUAUGGGAAACUACUUUAUCAACUAGUGUUCAGUGCUUAUGUGAAUGUCCUCAUGCUUUAGUGUUACAGUCUCCAUUCAUUUCUACAUUGGUUAAUCUUCCACUCACACCUGCAAGGAUCAUGAAGGUAUCUGUUUAGGAUAUUCACUUGAUAACCUGGUGGGGUUCCUGCAGGUAAUACUCAUAAAAAUGUGACAUUAUCUUCUAUCUUCUCAGGAUAGAACAAUUUCAAUUUCAACAAAGUCAAUGAUUUCAACAACAGUGACACAUUUCUUCUUCUCUUCAUUAUUUACAUUUUUUUCAAAUUCCUAAGAAGUGUGAUUUCUAAAGUACGGUUGCUGCCUAGAUCCUGGCAAGCAAGACAUGAGCAAGAUUAUAUCCAUAUUAAGAUCUUAGUACUGGUUCACUGGAAGACCUAGAAGUUGGAAACUGAUAGCAAUUCUUUACAACAAUGAAAACAUCUAAACAAUGACUGACCAUCACCCUCUCAGUAAAGUAGAUAGCAUAUAUUUCACUUAAUGAACACAGUUUGAUUGCACAACUUUAUGGUCUAGAGAAAGAAUUUGAGAUCAAAAAGAGUAUUCAAAGUACCUUGGCCUUUUAUGAUUACAACUAACUAUACAUUUAACAUAGCUGAAAUUCAAUUUUGGAGACUUGGAUUUGAUAGAUAUUCAGUAUGCUUUCUCAUUCAAUUAUACUAUUUUAAAAUAAUAUAUAACUUUAAAAUUUUUGUUUUUAAAUGCCUGCUUAAAUAUAUUUUAUGACCUUAUGACAAGUAGAUAUUUCCAACAUUUUUUUCUUUCUAUGAUAAG
rnacentral:lncRNA from 10 species